UUUCACCAUGUUGGUCAGGCUGGUCUCAAACUCCUGACCUCAGGCGAUCCAUCCACCUCGGCCUCCCAAAGUGCUGGGAUUACAGGCAUGAGCCACCGUGCCCGGCCAAGAGUGGGGAUAUUUUCUGAGAAAUGCAUUGUUAGGCGAUCUUGUCAUUGAAGCAUCAUAGAGUGUACUUACACAAACCUAGCUGAUAGAGCCUACUAUAAACCUAGGCUAUAUCGCAUAGCCUAGCGCUCCUAGGCUACAAACCUGGACAGCAUGUUACCAUACUGAAUUAUGUGCGCAACUGUAACACAAUGAACCUCCUUUAGACGUCCUUCACUUCCAGGAUCCAGUCCAAACUCCUGGGCUUGGCACAUGAACCCUCCAUCAUCUGGCACCUGGCAGCCCACAUGCUGGAGCCUCACGGAUUUGCUCAUCGCCCUCUGAACACCUGUGGCCUUCUCACUCCUCUGUGUCUUUGCACAUCCUUUCCCCAACCUCAUGCCAGGCCAUUGCAUUGUGAUCCAGGCUCAGUCUUCGUUCUGCUUCGUGGCAUCACAGUCCCUUAUUUGAAACUGAACCAGGACUGCAGUCUUCGACUUUGACAUCAAAUUUGACACCUCAGUGGCCCAAGCUUUCAGAAACUUGGAAUUGCAGACAUUAUGGAUUUGGACCUGCCCUCAGAAGAGCUACCUACUGAAAUAUUUACAAGUGAAAUGAUGUGAGAUGUGGGAUUUGAUUCAAAAUGAUCCUUUAUGUAUGAAGAGUGGGGCGUGGAGAAUGCAUGAAGAUACAGAUAAAAUAAACGUGUCUAUGGGUUAAU
rnacentral:lncRNA from 1 species